GCAGCCGAGCGGUAGAGUCUCUUCGGAGACUUGAGAGCGGCGCACGGGUGCGGAACACGUGUGCAACCUGCCUUUAUCUGGGGGAUAGCCUUUCGAAAGGAAGAUUAAUACCCCAUAAUAUAUUAAGUGGCAUCACUUGAUAUUGAAAACUCCGGUGGAUAGAGAUGGGCACGCGCAAGAUUAGAUAGUUGGUGAGGUAACGGCUCACCAAGUCUGCGAUCUUUAGGGGGCCUGAGAGGGUGAUCCCCCACACUGGUACUGAGACACGGACCAGACUCCUACGGGAGGCAGCAGUGAGGAAUAUUGGACAAUGGGUGAGAGCCUGAUCCAGCCAUCCCGCGUGAAGGACGACGGCCCUAUGGGUUGUAAACUUCUUUUGUAUAGGGAUAAACCUAGAUACGUGUAUCUAGCUGAAGGUACUAUACGAAUAAGCACCGGCUAACUCCGUGCCAGCAGCCGCGGUAAUACGGAGGGUGCAAGCGUUAUCCGGAUUUAUUGGGUUUAAAGGGUCCGUAGGCGGAUCUGUAAGUCAGUGGUGAAAUCUCACAGCUUAACUGUGAAACUGCCAUUGAUACUGCAGGUCUUGAGUGUUGUUGAAGUAGCUGGAAUAAGUAGUGUAGCGGUGAAAUGCAUAGAUAUUACUUAGAACACCAAUUGCGA
rnacentral:rRNA from 1 species